GAUGAAGAACGCAGCGAAAUGCGAUAAUUAAUGUGAAUUGCAGAAUUCCGUGAAUCAUCGAGUCUUUGAACGCACAUUGCGCCCCCUGGUAUUCCGGGGGGCAUGCCUGUCCGAGCGUCAUUGCUGCCCUCAAGCACGGCUUGUGUGUUGGGCCCCGCCCCCCGGCUCCCGGGGGGCGGGCCCGAAAGGCAGCGGCGGCACCGCGUCCGGUCCUCGAGCGUAUGGGGCUUCGUCACCCGCUCCGUAGGCCCGGCCGGCGCCCGCCGGCGACCCCCCUCAAUCUUUUCAGGUUGACCUCGGAUCAGGUAGGGAUACCCGCUGAACUUAAGCAUAUCAAUAAGCGGAGGA
rnacentral:misc_RNA from 1 species